CUGUAUGAGGCUGUUAAAGGAAAAGGUAAAUUCAAAGUAGGUAAAAGAAUUGCAUUACAAAAAAUUGCAAUGGAAAUGAAAGCUCCCCCAAUCUUUGAAAAAUCAUUUUUAGUAUUACAUAAUAAGAAAUACAUAACUGUGCCUAUUUUUACCGUAAUUUGCUUUCAUUUGAUGACAUUCAGUAAUAAGAUUUAUUAUUACCAGUAUGGAAAAUAUCUUGCCUGGGGGUGGCUGAAAUAGAUCCUGCAGACAAGUCAUCCAUCAGCUCAUGUUUAUCUCUUCAGAGAUCAGCGAUAUCAGUGGCAGGAACAAUUUCAAACAAUCCAAGACUAUUUACUGAUAAUAAAAGGAAAUGCUCAUGUAGAUUUAUAACAUGUCUCUCACCAGAGGUCACAAAAUAUUUUUGCAGGAGAGAUGAUUUAUUAAGCUUUGGUUAAAGAUGAGGGAUGGAUGGCAGGCUCAGAAGUGCUUGCUGCCCAGGCAGGUGCAGCAGCCCUGACCCUCUCGCUGCUCUGGCCAACAGGCUCUUUCAGGGAGAAGCACAGGGUGACAUGCACAGAGCUUCAUGCUAACACUGCUUUCCCUUUCCCCGUUGCUAAUGAGUUCAGCUGAAAGGACUGAAGACCAGUGCAAGCAAACAGGUCUUCUACAUCACGUGGAUAGCAGCAAAAUGAUAGUCUUGUUGUUUCUAAAAAGCAACUUAUGUCUUCUCGCUUAAUUCUGCUGUCGUUUUAAAGCAGAAGCUCUUGUUUGUGUCCCCGGUAGAGAGGUUUUUUAAAAAAUGGUGGCAACGUUCAGCAUAUUUAUUGGUAUUGACUGUGGGAUUCAGAACAAAUAGCUGUUGUCCUUCAGGCACUUGACUUUACCUACUGUUUCCCUCUCUUUGCAAUCAGACUGGAAUUAAAGCUCCGUUGUUAUCUAACCGGUGUAUCGCAGAAAUUUUUGUAAAAUUCAGGAUUUAUACUUACUGAAACAAAGAGCACUUUGAAUCACAACAUGAAGUGUGCAUUUUUUAAAAGUUAUAAAGGGAUCUUUUUUGUUGUUGUUUAAUUUUUGUUUUUGUCUAAGGAAACUUACUGGAACAUUCAUUUGUUUGAGAGGAAGCUUGCUCUAUAUGGACAAUAAAGAUGUUAAGAUCAGGAUGAAUGUCUGUGGGAGAUAAUAGCAAAUAAAAAAAUGCACCAGUCCACUACUCAUGUUUUCCAGGAACUGCAAGAACUCAGUCUUGGUUGUGUCGUAAAUCUGAGCCCCAUUGUUCCUGACUGGGGUUGAGCCUGUCAGAGAGACUUCUUUGUUCCUUUGAGCAGCUUCCAUCUGAAGCAUGUGGAGUUUUUUCAAAUUUUAAGCAGAAUUUUUGAGAUGCAUGUGUACUGACAUGCUUUGCUUUCCGCUCUUCCAGAUUUAGCAUCUUUUCUGCUAUUUCCUGUUGAACAUCAGCAGAGCGCGGUGACACCGGCAGAAGUAAUCUGACCUGCAAUGAGCUGUGUGUGGGACAGCCUACAGUUACCAGUAGUACGUGAUGUGUGCCAUUAGUACAUAGCUGCUCUUAUGCCAGGGAACAUGCCUUGUGAGGCAGCGCCAGUGUGAGUUUGACCUCAGGCAUCCCAAUAGCGUGGUGUGUGUGCUGUGGUUGUGCUGGCUGACACCGUUUGUCCCCUGAGAGAUGCAAGGUGGGUGGAAGCACUUUUUUUCCCCCCCCCCCCCUCCUGUUGACUCUGUUGUACUUUGUAGCAGUAAUUAUAGGCUUGCAGUGUCAGGGCCAGAAUUUAGUUACGCCCUUUUCCAGGUGAAUACCCAAAACCCUGAGACAGACUCACUUUUCUUUCUUUCCUCUGUUUUUCAAUCACUGCAUGUUGUCUUUUCACAAAGCAAAUGGUACUUCAGCCAUAAACCCUCUGAUCUUUUGGCUUUCAUCUUGUCUUCCUGUAGGAGCCUGGUAAACUGCUUGCCAGUUGUAGGCAAGAUUUGUUAACAGGUAAAAUUACUUGGCUUUUAGGCAAGGUUAUUUGGAAAUGCUAUUGCUCAUCCUUUCAAUACCCACCAGGUAAACUGCUUCCCUUUCAAAAUUCCCACAGAAUGUUUCCUGGCCCACCAGCAUCCAGCUUUAAGCUCUAGCACUGGAGAACAAGCACAGCUAUAUUGUAUGUGAACUAGUCUCUUAUAACAAGAACUACAAAAGUCCCAGGUUCCUGUGUCACAAUUCCUGUGUCACAAUGUGUUUGCAAGCCUGACUGCCAUUGACAGAUUACUUGUCUGUGAGACCGCUGUGACAAAACAACCUGGCAAAAAUUAACUUGAAAAAUACUUGGGAGCUUGUUGCCAUCAGCAAACCUGGGGUCUUUAAGAGGCCGUUGUCAGCAGCAUGCAGGGUGAAGCCAUCCAAUGCAAUCAUGUUAGUGCUAGCACAGAGCAUGAACUCCUGAGAGGGGACUUGGCAUUGGCUUAUGCUCAAGGGCAAUUGUUGGAGCAGCUUGUGAACAGGCAGCCUGCCAGCUAGACGGGCAUAGCUCUGGACAGCUAAUAGACCGUGUGUGAGUGCAGGGAAGGCAAGAUGCACAGCUGGGAAAUUGGAAGGAGAUUUCUAUAAACUUCUGCUCUGAGGGGUAAGAGUAUAUGCAGGCGAUGCCAAUCCAUGGAAGAGUAACAAAAUGAUUUCUGGCAGCUAAGACAGGUUCUUGGUCCCGCUGAAUCUGACAGAAUGCUGUGGGGGAGAACUGGAGAUGUCAUGGUUAACAAGUAUGGAAAUUAUAUCAGUAGCUUGGCCAUCUAGGUUUUAAAUGUUGUCAAUCUACAACAUGCAAUACUUGUCUAAUGUUUUCUGGCUGCUUAGUUUAAGGCACAAGAGCAGACAGCCUCUCUGUAAUGAGCUGGGAUGUAUAGGCAGCAAGCUGUUGAUAGCAGAGCAGAAAUCUUGGUUCCUCAACAAGCUGAGCUUAAAUUAAUCAAAAAAGAUGGCAGGCAGGAGAGGAAGCAGUGUUGUUUUCUUUUGUCUGUGCUUUUUUUUUUUUCACCUGACAAACUGAAUUCCCCAUGAUUUUCUGUCUCUCUGCUAGGUCCCCAAGAUCACUCCUUGUCUUAAUUCUUCUCAGCUCUACCUGUGCUCUAGCUCACAAGCUAUGCUCAUCUUUGUAUUUAAAAUCUGCACCACAAAUGCUGGACUGAAGCAAAACUGAUUUACUGUAAACAUGUUGUCACUCAGCAGUUCAGCAAGGGAUAAUUACCAAAACUCCAAGACAAAGGUGUUCUGUAUCUUUUAACUGGUGUAUGGAAAGAAUACUUGAGUCUAAUGAGUCUGUGGCUCUUCCAGACAUCCAAGUGAGCCUUGCUGUCUCCAGAAGAGCCAGAAAGUCAUUCUGGGAAGACAGAGUGUGGAAUCUGACACUACAGUGUAAUUGAGGAAAAAGAGGCCAUAUGAAUUAUUUAUGAGCAGAAGGCUGGGCUUACUGUUAACAAGGGAGAAGAAAGUGGCUUCAAAAUUCUGGCUUUCUGCUCUUCCCUGUAAGAAAGGCUGCUGUUUUAAAUUGCUUGCAUUUUAGAGCAGCAGGGAGACAGGGCUGUUAUUUAUACCGUGCCUUAUUUUGUGUCCGUGGUGUAGUACAGGAUUGAGGGAGAGGCAGGGAUUGCCCCAAGGAGCACACUCUCCAUUCACUCAAACUGUGGUAAAGAUGUGUCAUGUGUUCUGCUCUGUAACUAGCUCACCCCAUCUCCUCCAGGCAAAAAAUUUCAGUGCAGGAGAGAAGCAAGCAGAACUGCUACAAGCUUGGCAUUUCCUUUGGGUAGGGACAGUUUUAAAAGCUGAAGAGUUUUUUCUGGAUCACUGAUCCAGCAGAUGACUUUGUCAUGACCUCUCCUUGCAACCUCUGUCCAGGUUUGGGGUUGCGUGAGCUGACCUUGUGGCUUUUGCCCUCUGAGAGAUCCCCCACCAGCAGGGUCUGCCCUAUCUGCUGCUGGCUUGUCUUGAAACUGGCAUGAAGGAUCCAGCUCAGGCAGUUACAAAGUCUCACGUCCCAGUCAUACAGAUGUGCUUUGGUUUUGUUUUUUAGCUAACUAGGCCUCUGUAAAAGUCAGGAAGCAAGAAGUGAACAGCUCUGGAAUUGAUGAAAAGUACUCUGUUCCUUGAUUUCUAACACUGGCUCAUUGAUUCUUUGUUUGGUUCAAUCAGCAGUAACUGCUUUUCAUUAAUCCAGGCUGCCGUACUUAGCAGAGUAGGUUCUUGGUAGACAUACCCCUGAGAAAUCUUAACGGGCCAGAGGGGUGAAGAACACUUGGAUCUUACCUGUGGCUCAGAAUUAAAAUGUUAAAGUGAGGAGUUGCUAUUUCUAAGAGUCCUCUCUUGAAAGUCACUCUGCAGACAGGUUUGUGACUGUCCAGAGGGGCAGGCAGAUGUAUACAUGAGUGGAGAAAGUGGAAAACAUUUUUAUUUCUUUUGUAAAAAAAACAGGAAUGCCAUCAAGUUCUCUCAGUCCCCAAGCUUGUUAUAGCAAAGACAGUAAAAGCAGGAAGGACUAUGGGAAAAUAUUGUUUUCUUAAAGGAGAGAUGGGAAUAGGAGAGGCUGGAGGUGAGGUACAGUGCUGGGGGAGGGAGGCAGCCCUUGUGGGGACUGGUGAGUCACACAUCCUCCAGCAAAGAAGCACUGACUCACUGGAAAGAACAUCACUCUGCUGCUCCCUUUCUGCUAAGACUGAGGAACAGUGAAUUGAUAAUCAACUUUACCGUGCAGGCUCCCCAGUUAGAGAGUGAGAUCUAAGAGGGUAGAACUGGAGACCAUGGAAAGAAGCAUGAGACAAAGGUGAGCCUGAAUGCUUGGUGUUAGUGCAGAGGGUCCUCGCAGAGCUGGAGAGGAGGAUCCCCUGGAGCACAGCCUGGAUGAGGAGUAGCAGGUCAGCUCCAGCAGCUGGGCUGUGCACCAAGGUCUUGAUGAAUGCCUGUUAGCAUUCACUUGGCAGCAGGGUUGAGGCUGUGGUGCUCUCAGCACUGCUGCCCCCAGUGAGGCACACACCAUCCUUUGGAGCAUGCCACCUGGGAGAGCUGCCAGUCAGAUCUCCACUGCGGAUUAAAGUUGAGUACAGCCAAUGGGGGUGUUGUUCCAUGCUGAUAUUUAUCUCCUGCCCAGCUCAUAGUGUGUAACAGGAUAAGGAGAGCCAUCAUUUGUUCUGCAGUAUCUGCAGAUUUCUAAAAGAAAAUGUAUCUUAUUACCGUGUAUACAGGAGGGCUGGAUGGAGAAAGGGAUCGGAGUGCUAUGUAGUUCUUUUUUCUUCUGACAGAGAAAGAAGAAGUCUCAAAAGAAUCCAAAAUGGCCCUAAAAGCUAAUUUGUGCUCAUAUUACUACAGCUCGAAAGGUAUUUCUUAUGGGAUAAGUGUAAAGAGCUUUAAUACACAAUACAGUGUUCUAAUUGUUUUCAAAGCAGCAGAUGACUCUUAGCAUGUUUAUGCAGUGAGCACUGAGGGCAGGGGCCAUAAAGGCAGAGCACAGUCAGUCCCUGACUCUGGGAUCAGAACGUGUGAUUGCACUUGCAAGUCUGCAUUGCAAUUUUCUCUCACUUUACAAGUUUUAUGUUGGUAAUGUGAAAUAAUUAAUGAAUCACAGCAGUGCCGCAGAAGAGGAAUAAUUUUAAUGUUCUUUUUAAAGAUGCUACUAAAUCAGUGGGGCAGUUUAAAGAGGAAUGAUGGGCUGAAGAUUAGCAAACUACUAUGAGAAUGAGGCCAGGGUUUUGAGAAGGACUGAAUCUCAAACAGGCAGAUUCUCUGUGAUCCACAGUGUGGACAUUUGUAUGUCUGGCAUACGGUGGCAAAGGCAGAACUCGCUGACUUUUAGGCGUUGACGAGUUAGACUCUGCAAUCUUGGUCAGAAUUAAAGAUCCCCAGGACUUGGAAGAGGCACUGAGAGAUUACAAAGCACAGGCGACACUGUGCUGUGCAGGAGCAGUAUUUUUCCAUUCCUGUCAUGGGUCUUCUGACUACCAGCUACAUAAGCGAUGUCUACAUGGACUUUUGAAAGCAGAUAGGAGCUUACUCUGGCUGUUGUCCAAAAGAACCAGGAGCCAUGUAGCUGCAGCUUGAGUGCUGCAUGCCCAAAUUACUGUGGCCUGCUGAGAGGCAGGAUAUUAGCUUGGGCUCGGGCUGUGGCCAGCUCGGGCCGUGGGUAAAGCAAGUUUUCAUCUGUGUGCAGAAAAACACGUAGACAAGGAUAGCCAACGUGCGUAGGAUUUGGAAAUCCAUUUUUGCGAUGAGAGUAUCAGGAUCUAGAGUGAGUUUGCUGCCCACAUGAAGUUCAGGGAAAUACAACUUACUGUGCUCCCUGUCCAAGCACAAAGAGCAGCACCAUGUGGUUUAGCCUGAGAGCCAGCCUGCUUCUCAGUGGCCAAAGAAAACUGCUUCGUGGCCUUGAUCCAAAUUCUGUGGGCCUCCAGUUGGCUAUCUCUGUUGCAGGCAUACCCAGGGUUUCUUUUCUGUUUUGGAUGGCAGUGACUAUGAACAGGGAGGGUUUCAAUUCAAUCUUCACUGGCUCUGUGAGUUUCUGCAGGAGCUGACUGUGACACCUGACUACCCAGAUGGAAUUCGGAGCCUGAGAGGUCUAUAAGAAUGUAUGUGUUUGUGCCAUCCAACUUGUGAGUAGAAAGGAAGGCUGCCUCCAUUUUGGAUAGAUAUCUUUGCUGUCUUUUUCCUUCUAAAAUAUCUCAUUCUCUUCAUUUUGAAGAACGCUUCAUUUAAGAAGUUUCACUAUGUGUUAAACAUUAAGGAAGAAAGUGCUUUGCAUAUAUAUUUAAGUGCAUAUGUGCACAUGCUGUGUGUAAUACAAGAAUGCAGAUAUUUUUGUACGGUUAGUACAUGCACAUCGAUCAGUCCUGAUUACCUUAGAACGACAGAUAAUGAUAUUAAAGAUCUGUAACAAAAGCUGAGAAUGCAGCAUGUGGUGUCUUAGGUGGUGUCCAGGUGCAAUGAAUUGGUGACUUACUUUCCCUUUCACUCAAAGCAAGUAUUCCCCCCUCACCUGCACUUAUGCUCCCCCACCUGCAGUGUUUAUGCAACAUUAAAACAUUGUAAAAACAGGAAUUUCAGUAACUAUCUCAGUUCCUGGGGGCAGAAUGGCACCUGGAACAGGAAGAAGCUGUAACUGAAAUAGACCCAUCAGGUGAAAUCCUGUGCUAGCCAAAGGCACAACUGUCCCUGAUCCUCCAUGGAGUCAGGAUUUUGCUCGUAUCUUCUGACACUUGCCUUUUCUGAAUUUGAGACAUUAGUCUUACCGUGGAAUAGUUAAGCUAAAAAUAGAAAACAGUCUGACCUAAAAUAGUUUGACAUCCAUAUCAUAGUGCUUAUUGUCUGAGAAUACAUCUGAAUGACAUGUUGAUUAAUCCUGAACUGAGGUAAAUGUGAUUCAUUGGAAAGAACUGGGACUGUACCAAUAAUUCAGUACCAAAAGCUAUAUGGGCACCAACUCAGUGUGCAAUGCUUCCAGCAAAACUUUAUUUGCAAGCUGUCAGAGUCAUCUGCCGUUUUCCCAGUUAUGUUGGUUCCCUUCUGAGUGGCCUGGACAAAAUAUUCCAGCCUGGCUCAUGUGGACUACUUUACUGAAGCAUCUUUUCCCCUUUUUCUGAAAACAAAACAACCACAUCAAGUCAGGUUGUUGUGAGCAGCUUUUAAGAUAGAUGUCAGUAGCACUUACUGCACAGCUGGGGCCAAAGCAAAGCUGUGUAAGUGCCGGAGCUAUUCAGCUGGAAAUUACAUCUUGUGCAGGAACCUAAAUGUCAAGUUCCACAGUGCCCCUCACAGCCAGGCUUCUUACAGCUCCCCUUUUCCCAUGACUCUUCUUCUCUUUCCUACAGAUGUAACCGUACUUCCCUUCAGAUACAAUAAAUCAUAUAUGGGAAUGCCACAAUCUAAAGCAAAGCAAGCUGUCACCCAGGACUUCAGCUGACACUUAGCCACAUUAACGAGUAAACAGAGCCCACAGGAAAGAUGCCUUUUGAAAUGCACUGUUUGUGUCAGCAGUGCUAAAACUAACGAACCAAAACAAUGAAAGAGAAAAGGGAGUCAUUGGAUGCGCCUAAAGCUGUGGUCUAUAAAGUCAGAUCAGUGGAAACAAGCUCAAAUUGGUGCACAUCUUUGGGACAGCAUAUAAAUUGUUUUCCAUGAGCACAGGACAGCAUAUACUCCUGCCUUGUGAUGAGAGGAAGGCAUUAAAAGAAAGAGUAGGCAUAGCAACGUGAAGAGAAGGCACCAGGACUAAAUGUGUUUCUUACCUUGGAACCUUCUGACAGCAGAUAAGCAAGGCUUGAGCCAAAGUCUUCAGGACACCGAAGGAAACUGGAACUAUAACACCAUCACAUGGCUCACAACAAGCUGGCAUGGAGGAGGGAAUCAGGUACACAUUGUUGAGGAGGAGUUGCACAGAGUAUGCAGUGUAACAUGCAUCCCCAGGGCGUUUGGAGGCAAUGAGUAUCAGCAGUCAGUGGAACCAGGCCAAAUUUACAGCAGUGCAACUGAACGAUAAUUUCACUCUUGAUGAUGGGGGAGCAAAAAUACGUACCAGAAAAAAAGAAAUGUCUCACUGAAGCUAUAGAAAUAGCGGUGGGGAAAUGGCUUGGCUUUGCUUGCUGUUGCUGAUUGGUGUUCCUGAUAUAUCCCUCAGUUCUGCCUCUUGUGGUAUACACGUUAAAAUUAGUUCCUCUUCCACCUUUUAGGUAAUAAUCCUUUAAGGGAACCUUUCAGAUCACCACCACCCAUGAUGACAGGAAAACAGUGUUAGCUACAGCUCCUGUGCUCUUGGUUACUGCAUGUUGAUACAAACAGAAGACUUGAUCUUGGAUUAACAAUAGCUAUGGUUUAGGUUUUCUUCCUUCAGCGAUCCCUGAAAAAGAUGCUUGCAAGCAUAAUUUGGUGCUAGAGGCUGAAAAAACAUCAAUUCUAAUAGCCACAUUUCUAAGGUUAACAUGAGGGCUAAGUACAUAGCGUUUCCUUUGAAGAAAGCAUAUAUGCUCUGGCAGAGGGAUAGCUGAAAACCAUGUCUGUGAGAGCAGUGGCUGAUGGUUUAGUUCUGCAUGAUAAAAUAAAUAACGUUGAUUAAGUUCAAGCUCCAGUACCUCAGAUGUUUGUUGUUGCAGAGCAGCAUCUUGGCUGAUUGGCAGCUCUGGUUUAGUCGACAUGUGUUAACAGAAAUUGCUCAAUUUACAUGGAGUACUUCAAUCUGCUGUUUUAGAAGUUUGUCCCACAUAGACUAGCAUUUCAGCUUUUGAAUAAGCGGAGGACUUGUAAGGGUCAUUAAAGGGAUUGCUAAAGCUUCUGUAAACGCUAUAGGCCAGAUUGCUGACUGAGAUGCAUAGCAUGCACGUGUCACUGCAGAUACUUCCCAGAUAAUGGUACUGGUGAGAUUUUAAUCUGGAUGAAGUGCUGGAGGCAACUCUCUUUCCAACACUCAAUUAUCCUGAUAAUAACACACUUUUAUUUUUCCUGUGUUCAGAAUGUGUGGCCUGCUGUGACUGUGCAGUGUGUGUACAGAGCUGUCUGGAGUGAGGAAAAAAAGCAACAAACCAAAUUUAUGGCAUAGCAAAGGGCACUUACAUUGUCCUCUAUGCUGUGGGACUUCUGCUGUGUCCGUACCUUGGGUGGAGGAGCCAAGUAACCACCAUGGGAAAGGACCAUUUUUUCCCACAGGCUGCAGAAGAAUGAGUCCUUACUGGUUCUCAACAGCCUUACAGGAAUAUAUUUGAAGCACAGCUUGCUGCUAGGACUGUGUGGUAUGUUGUAAGGGCAAGACUAUCAUUUUAUUGUGCGUAUACAUCUUGUAACCUCCCUAGUGGGAUGCUGAUCUUCCGAAGUCUCGCACAACACCAAGAAUUCAGAAUAGUUUCCCACGGAUAUUUUCUCUAGAAGAACUUCUUCGAAGAAUUAACUCAGCCAGGAAACGGAAACUGGGGGACCAAAUUGCUUCACACAUGUCAGUCUCCCAUUGGUAAAGGAUCUUAGAAAUAGUCACUUGGUGAUUAAUCUCAACUAUGCAUCCCUAAUUUCAUUAACACUUCCUAGAGAUGAAGGGUGGAGCCAUUUGAGAAAAUCAAGCUUUAUUUACUUUUUAUUCAUUAGGGGUUAUUCUGCGAAAUUGAAUUACUAAUAACACUUCAGAUCAUUAAGAUGUAUGAAACUUAGAUUUACUUUUCAGUACGUGAAUCAUUCUCUGUUCCUUAAUACUUUUCAUCAAUCUCAAAGAAUGCAAACAAACUCAGCUGUUUUAUAUUUGUUUACAGUCAACCUUUACCAGGCCCAUGUCAGCAUCGUUCCAUAUUUGUUGCUAAAUGAUGGUGGAGUGCAAAUUUCUGAGAUAAAGCAGAAUUUCGUACUCAUUCUUUGUACUGCUUACAAUAAAGUAUGGUAGAGAAAACUAAAUUUGCUAGCAGAGCCAGAGAAGGUAUUGCUGCAUUCACAGCCUCUGGUCCUCUCUCUGCAUUGUCUGCUGAGAUAGCUGUGAAUUUGGCUCACUUUCUUUGUUUGUAUGUCAAACUGUAUUUGUUGCUUGAAGUGAAUGCACAUGCCCUAGGUAAUGCUCAGCAUUGGGUAUAACAUUUUUGGCUCUUUAUGGCUGGUUGAAAGUCUUUCCAUUUUUGUUAGAUUAAGCUGUCCUGGAUUUAGUUAAGCUAGUGUGGGGUAGCCACUUUUAUUUUGGACUAAGAGUGAUUUGUGUCAAUUUAGCUUAAAUCCAUUCCUAAUUGACUUACACUGAACUGAGCUAACACCUGAUUUAUGCCCUCAAUUAUCCUAUUUUAACCAGCAGCUCAGGCAUGCUGUCCAGCUCCAGCAACUUAACGAGUUACUGUACCUCAGCCGAGGCAUGGUAACUGCAGUGUGCCUUUCUCUAGCCUGCAGCAGACGUGAGGCUCAGUGUGUCAGCUUAACCUCAGGGGCAAGAAAAAGAGAAGUUGAAACUGGUUUCUUCCAUCUGAGAUGGCCACAGGCGAAGAGCAAACACACAUGGACAAUUACCGUGGCUCAGAUGAUGCAUGAGUCUAUUUUUGAGAUGCUUGCAUCUUUCGUAAAAAACAAUGAAAACAAACAAAACAAGACCACCAAUAGUAAAAGAAAACCACCAGCCCCAGACUUUCACCUUUCCUCUCAGGUAAGACCUGUUUUCUUACUCUACUCUGUGGGAAAGCUAAGAAUACAUUUGCUUAUUUUCCACUAUGAUUUGCUAAGCUGAAGCUAAAGAUAGAAGAGCUCCAAACCUAGGAGGAGUCUGGACGCUCUCAAACUAUGAUUGGGACCAAGGAAACAACAUACCAGACAUCAAAACUUUGGAUGCUUUUUUUAUUUUCUUUUUAUUUAGUAACUGAAACUCAAGUUCAUCUUUCUGUGCUUCUACAUAAUACAAGGAAAGAUAUUUGAUUAAAUUAUGUGAGAUGCUUUUUAAGGCAGAUGGAUUCAACACAUGGCUGCAGGACCAGGCUUUAUUAUCUCAGCUAACGUGGACACAUUUUGAACACUGCUUCUCACUCUGCCAUCAGCCGCCACCACCUCUGCAGUACUGUGACAGCAAGAGAAAAAGGACAGGAAAGUGAUGAAGUUUGUACACGUAAGCAGAAAAGAACUUUCUGUCCAAAGCCAGCUGGCUUGGCUUGGCACUGAAGUGGCACUUCAGCACAAGAUGACACGUUUAUGCGUGUACUGGAGCUGUGUUUUUCAAACACUUGCCCUAGAUGCUACAGGAUGGGUCUGCGAAAUAGUUUAUCACCAAGUAACCAGAGAGAGCAGGUGAGCUGUUUUCUAGACUGGCAAACAAAUGAAACCAUACUAAGAAAUCACAGCAAAUAUGCUGCUGCUUUUAGAAUUAGAAUUGAGCAUAUUUUCAGUGAAGUUGUUCAGGGAGAUGUAAUAAUUCUAUAUCACAACCAAGAAGACAAUAUGUCCAUUAAUUAAUGCCUGAUGCUGUUUGCUCUGAUACAAAACUCAGAAAUGCACACCAGCUGAUCCAUGUUAAUACAGGUUAUUUUUAUUUUAUUUUUAAGUCUUGUUUUCCAAAUUAGACCAAACCUCCCAGGAUAAAACGAAUGGCAUCUUUGCCUUUACCUGAUAAAGAGCCUGAGCAAGGAGGGAGGUUGAUGGCUUCUAUAAAUCCUGUGGGACACAGAUUAAUCAUCCCAAGUGUAAUCCCAAAGAAAUCAACUGAAAAUAAACCACAGCAAUGUUUGUACUUUGGAGUCUGGAUGCCAUCAUAAAAUGCCAAAAACGUACCUUGUAUACUGCCCAAGUUUAAAGAUUAAACUUUAUUUCAGAAGUUAACUGCUAUAAAAGUUUCUUUGCUAUAUGUUGCGCAUUAUAACAGAUCAUGCAGACCUUUUGUGGACUCUGUGUGUGAAGUUUACAAGACCAGGACAGUAGCAUAUGUCUCGUGUGCGAUUUGAUCCAUCGAGUUUACAGAAAAACAAAUCAAGUCCAGGAAAAAUAAUGCUUAAAUUUACAUGUUAAGAGCAGCACUAGCUGCCUGCAGUGGGAGCCAAGGAUGCUCUGCAUGAGGCAGAACUUAUCUGGCUUUCAAGAGUUCCACAAGUCAUUUGUCACUUGAAGAGGUCCCACCAACUUCAAAUCUACUUUAAAAAGCAGUUGAAAGACUUUUUAGGUAUUAUGGUCUCCUAUAUCUAUUUCUGUCUCUUUUGUUUCCUAACAGCAUGAGACACUGACCACACAUACUGCAGUCGAAUAUAGAAAUUAAACUUACAGGAAAAAGGAUGUCUUCUCUUUAAUCUCUUGGAGAAUUUUCCAGACUAAAGCAUAGUUCUUAAAUUGAUAAUAUCCCUUUAAGAAUUUAUUUGCCAGGUAAUGUUAGAAGAAAAAAGAGAUUAGGGCCAGUUUGAACAUUAGAAAGACUCUUUUUAAAAUCAAUUUCAAGUCUGUAUUAGAGAUGAGCGUUGUCUGAACAUGCUUCCAACAGAUAAAAUAUAUUCUGCACCUUAAGAAUUUAGAUAACUUGAAAAUCCUUGAGACUUCCAGCUCUUUGCAAAAAGGUCAAAUUCUAUCCUAAGAAAUAUUUUAUUGCAUAGAAAUAAUAGUUUAGUGUUGCCUUAUAUGAAAGUCAGAAUCCGUAAGGCUACGAAAUUAAUAACAGAUCAAGGGCUGAAGUUUUUGAAUAAUGUAGUAAAUAUUUCUUAAAUAAGUGAAAUGAUACAAUACCAUGGGAAGAGAGAAAUGCAUUUUAAUAAAGAAAGUAUUGAAUGUAAGAAUAUUUCUUUAGAUCUACUACGCAAUCUGUGUCUUCUCUAUAAGAUGUCAAACUACACGGUGCAUAUGUACACUGUGCUCCCUCUAUAAAUAUACAUGUGCAUGACAUAUUUCUAAAAGCAGUAAAUGAAUGCUGGGGAAAUACGGCAACAAUGAAGUUCCUAAGAGAAGGUUAUUUUUUCAGGUCAUUAAAAGAAGGUGGCAAGCAUUCAUGAGGAUAUGAAAAUUUAAAGCUGUCUGCAGGAAACUCUGAAAACCUCUGGUUAAGGCUGCUGCCAAAAAAUCUCAGCUAUGUUAUGUCAGAAUGUUUAAUUGCAAGCUGCAAUUUUAAUGAAUGGAAAGAUAUGGCAAAAGGAGGAAGUUUCUGCAGCAACAUAGAGCAGCCAUGAAAAUCAAAUGCCAAAGGUUGUAAUCUUGGACGCUGCUGGAAUCAGGAAUUUCCAUCCACGUUCUGACUCCUUUUCCUACUGUGAGAGUUUGCCAGCUGUCUGGCCGAAGGGAGGUAAGCUGUUCUGGAUAUCAUCUCCUGGGCUCAAGGCAGCACUUGUUAUGUCUAUGUGAAGAAGUCAACUUCUGUGCAUUUGUUGUUACGGAUGUUUACAGAAAUGCAGCUCAGGAAUAGGGGAGGAAAAGCAAAUGUCAGAGUGCAUUAAAUAACGUAUUUUCUUUACUUUCCAAGAAGCUUGCUAGCAGCACGAUGUUACUAUUUAUAACAGAUCUCUUAAACCCAGCUGUUCGUUCAUGUUAACAUGGAGAAUGGUGAGAAAACCCCAGCACAAGAGUGUGAAUCCCACAGAGACUUGUCUUCUGUCAUUGUGAAGACCUAGAAAAUAUCCCAAGUUUUGCUGAGGUAUGGAUCAGUCCUGCAGCAAGCGAGACAUGCCGUACAAAUAUUUCCUGUGGUGAUCUCUGGCAUUAGAAGGCCAGCAGCAACACAAAACGAGAAGAAGCAAAUGCUGCAAGAAGCUUCAGAUAGCAUAGCCUGAGCCUGUGGCUGGAAAAGUCUGAAAGAGAGAGAGAGAGAGCUUCUACCUGUAACUCAAAACUAGCAGAUAUAUUGUACACCCACAUUACAGCAUUCUUAGACAAGCUGCAUCUGAUCUAAUCUUAUGUACCUUGGCCACAAGUUCUGGAAAAACAAAUAUUCCCAAGGCAAUCGGAUUACUGAAUGUACCAUACAACAAUGUGGAAAUAUUAGCGGUUUACAGAAGGCAGUUAUGAUGUGGAUUGAGUGAAUUUAAUUCAUGCACUGUCAGGCAAUUUGGACUUAGAUAUAAUCAGGUUAAGAUUUCCUUAUUUUAGCUGUCUUUGGUGGAACACCAGAGCCAAACAGUAGUGUAUGAGCAAUACUCUGAAAUACAGACAGAGAGGUCACAAGCCAGCUUUGGGCAAGUGCAAAUCUGCGUCUGCAUUGAGGUGGCUGUUAGGGGGUUAAUAGGGUUACCUCAAGUAUUAAUGAAAAGGAACCAUUAUCUCCUCCUCUCUGGCUUCCUGCUCUAAAGGUAGGAGCCUCCCCUUCUCAUAUCCUUUGUUUCUCAUGAAAGUUCCCAUCCUGAAAUGCUAUGAGUACAAUUUGGUUUUGUUGCAACAAGUAGUCCUUUAAAAAAAAUCUUCAUUCAUAGAGUACUUCCACCAUUGUAAGUGAAACAAUGUUAGGAAUUAAUCUAGCCUGUGAUUUUAAGAAACCUUGUUCUUAACAGCUUGUUCUUAGAGCCUUCUUCCCUGUGAAGGAUAACUUGUUUAACAAAUAAGCUGAAGCUACAUAACAUUCCCUACUCCUCUUAUCCACAAUUAAAAAAACCCCCUGUGUUAUUUUUUAAUGCAAAGUUCACCUUUAGAAGCAUGAGAUCUAAUAUUUUCUUUUCUCUGGAAUAAAGAUGAAAAAGCUG